rnacentral:rRNA from 1 species
GACGAACGCUGGCGGCGUGCUUAACACAUGCAAGUCGAACGAAGAGCGAUGGAAGCUUGCUUCUAUCAAUCUUAGUGGCGAACGGGUGAGUAACGCGUAAUCAACCUGCCCUUCAGAGGGGGACAACAGUUGGAAACGACUGCUAAUACCGCAUACGAUCUGACCUCGGCAUCGAGGAUAGAUGAAAGGUGGCCUCUACAUGUAAGCUAUCACUGAAGGAGGGGAGUGCGUCUGAUUAGCUAGUUGGAGGGGUAACGGCCCACCAAGGCGAUGAUCAGUAGCCGGUCUGAGAGGAUGAACGGCCACAUUGGGACUGAGACACGGCCCAGACUCCUACGGGAGGCAGCAGUGGGGAAUCUUCCGCAAUGGACGAAAGUCUGACGGAGCAACGCCGCGUGAGUGAUGACGGCCUUCGGGUUGUAAAGCUCUGUUAAUCGGGACGAAAGGCCUUUUUGCGAAUAGUGAGAAGGAUUGACGGUACCGGAAUAGAAAGCCACGGCUAACUACGUG